ACAGGAUGUCUCGUGACAGGA
rnacentral:miRNA from 1 species